CCAAAUCCUCGAACGCAUAUCAAAGCUUGAGCUCUCCAUCUCCACUUCUCUUCCGCAAUUCACCGCUACCCCCAUCCCUACCUCAACUCAAAACGCGGCCGUCAGCGCCAACGAAGCCCGCCUCUCCUCCUUUCUCCUAGCCAAUGACGUAAAAAACUUCGCCUUCAAGAGGGUUCCCUCCGAUUACUACGAUUGGUCUCUCGACGCCCGGCGCUGCCUCAAUCCACCAUCUCUGCAAAAGCAUUGUCUUGGUAGUUGGUACCCAACUCAAUCUUUGUAGUCUUCGUUGACUGAACUCUAAUAUCAGAAAUGAUUUUGUACCUCAAACGAAAUAACCCAUUUGUAAAUUUUGAUUUGUUUAGUCCGACCUUGCUUGCGUUACCCCAAUCCAGUGUCGUUGAUUGUAGUGACCGCAAAAAUUCAAAAUACUAUGUUGUUGUCGUUCAGUACACUGCUCGGUUUAAUGCUGAAGCUGUUAAGAACUUCUUGUAUUCGCUCAACGAGGGCAAGAUAGCGAAAAAGAAAUUCAACUAAGGUGAUAGUUGUUGUCAUUGGGUAUGCAUUGAGACUUGCACCUGAGGAUACAUCAAUAGAAUUGACUGGAUUUGAGCACAAUGCAGUUACAUGUGUUGGCAUGAAAACAGACAUUCCUGUGAUUUUGGAUGAAGCAAUUGAGAAACUUAAUCCCGAUUUCUUCUGGUUGGGCGGCAGCGAGGUUGAUCUGAAGCUGGGCAUCAGAACCUCAGAAUUUAUAAACUUUGCUAAACCUUUUAUUGUGAGCUGCAGUAGUUCUUGAUUUAUCCAAAGAAACUAGAAUCAAAAUUUAUAAAAGAAUACAUUAUCAAACAAAACCCAUGAAUUGAUUAACUGCUUUGGUUGCUA